rnacentral:rRNA from 1 species
CCUACGGGAGGCAGCAGUGGGGAAUAUUGCGCAAUGGGCGAAAGCCUGACGCAGCGACGCCGCGUGAGGGAUGAAGGUCUUCGGAUCGUAAACCUCUGUCAGCAGGGAAGAACGGUCACUGGGCUAAUCAGCAGUGAAUUGACGGUACCGGCAAAGGAAGCACCGGCUACCUCCGUGCCAGCAGCCGCGGUAAUACGGAGGGUGCGAGCGUUCAUCGGAAUUACUGGGCGUAAAGCGCUCGUAGGCGGUAUGUCAAGUCAAGGGUGAAAUCCCCGCUCUCAACGUGGGAACUGCCUUUGAAACUGGCAAACUGGCGUGUGUGAGAGGCUAGUGGAAUUCCAGGUGUAGUCG